rnacentral:tRNA from 1 species
AGCGGGGUAGUCCAAUUGGCAGAGACACGAGUCUCAUAAGCUCGUCUAGUGUAAGUUCGACUCUUACCCCCGCUCCCA